rnacentral:rRNA from 1 species
AUUGAACGCUGGCGGCAUGCCUUACACAUGCAAGUCGAACGGCAGCACGGGUGCUUGCACCUGGUGGCGAGUGGCGAACGGGUGAGUAAUACAUCGGAACAUGUCCUGUAGUGGGGGAUAGCCCGGCGAAAGCCGGAUUAAUACCGCAUACGAACUACGGAUGAAAGCGGGGGACCUUCGGGCCUCGCGCUAUAGGGUUGGGCGCUGUCUGAUUAGCUAGUUGGUGGGGUAAAGGCCUACCAAGGCGACGAUCAGUAGCGGGUGUGAGAGGAGGACCAGCCACACUGGGACUGAGCCAGGGCCCAGACGCCUACGGGAGGCAGCAGGCGGGAAUUUUGGACAAUGGGGGAAAGCCUGAUCCAGCAAUGCCGCGUGUGUGAAGAAGGCCUUCGGGUUGUAAAGCACUUUUGUCCGGAAAGAAAUCCUUGGCCCUAAUACGGUCGGGGGAUGACGGUACCGGAAGAAGAAGCACCGGCUAACUACGUG